GAUGAACGCUGGCGGCGUGCCUAAUACAUGCAAGUCGAGCGAACAGACGAGGAGCUUGCUCCUCUGACGUUAGCGGCGGACGGGUGAGUAACACGUGGAUAACCUACCUAUAAGACUGGGAUAACUUCGGGAAACCGGAGCUACUACCGGAUAAUAUAUUGAACCGCAUGGUUCAAUAGUGAAAGACGGUUUUGCUGUCACUUAUAGAUGGAUCCACGCCGCAUUAGCUAGUUGGUAAGGUAACGGCUUACCAAGGCAACGAUGCGUAGCCGACCUGAGAGGGUGAUCGGCCACACUGGAACUGAGACACGGUCCAGACUCCUACGGGAGGCAGCAGUAGGGAAUCUUCCGCAAUGGGCGAAAGCUUGACGGAGCAACGCCGCGUGAGUGAUGAAGGUCUUCGGGUCGUAAAGCUCUGUUAUUGGGGAAGAACAAAUGUGUAAGUAACUAUGCACGUCUUGACGGUACCUAAUCAGAAAGCCACGGCUAACUACGUG
rnacentral:rRNA from 1 species